CCGAGGUUCUGGCAGCUACUAGCGUCGCGCUUCUCUCAGAUGAAAUGUGUGCAUUGAAUGGACGCACAAGGGAUGAUGCAGCGAUCUGAAGAGUGACUGAGUCUCACUCGAGCGUCCAUGCAGGCAGUAAAGCCGAGGCCUGUUUGCAAGGGAAGGCUGCAAGCUGUGACUGUCCCUGAAGCAGAUUGAAGCUACGCCUCACUGACUUCCUCGCUCCCUGCCCAGACCAUGACCACUCUUGAGAGCGGCGCAGAGCUGGCUCGAGAGUCCAGAACGGAACGCAGGAGGUAAAAAAAGAAUAAGACGUGAGAAGGAAGGGCCCAGGAUCACAGAUGAUGGUGGUGAACCUGCUCCACAGACAAACUGCCUCCACAUCUGUGCACUACACAUCGCCGCCUCCAUCUGGCUCCGCCAGCUGAUUGGAGCGGAGCAGACACGCCCCCUGUUUGACAGGACGCCUUGCAAGGUUGAAGACUCUUCAGAAAGAAAGAUGACCUCAUGCAGUCCUGACCGUAAAUAAAGGUGGUCUCACCAGUAAUAUUUCAAAUCACAAAACACAUUUUGUAUCAAUACAUUGCUGAGUCAGCUUUUUUCUGCUUACAUGUAGAUGAAUAUCUGCCGCAUAUUGGGUGGCAGUCCCGAGGAAAAUGAGGACUGAAUUUUUUAAAAUUCAAUUUUUCUUCUUUUUAAACGUAUAAAGGUUGUCGAAAAAGUCUGUAUUAACAUUAGCGCAAUAUUAGAUGUUCUUUAUCCAAAAAUGAAUUCAAUUAAAUGCAAAUUUAAUAGCAAAAAUCAAACUCUUUUUAAAGGAAAUAUUUUACAAAUGUGCAUCAAUAACAUUUAAAUAUGAUGAGAAACUUUGAGGAUGAAUCAUCAGACAACAUUCUAGAAUAUAUUUUGAGUGUGAAAGCUGAUACAUACUGUCGGCUUUUUGUGACGGUGGAACAUGACUGAUGUCCAUUCAGCGUGAUUUUUUCAAUCGUUGCAAGACACCACCUGGAACUGGAUGAGCUGAGAUAAAGACCCACUUUAACCAAAAAUGUUUCGGAUCGAAGAAUAUGAAUUGUUUUUUGAGAUGUCACAGAACUGUUUUCAAGAGAAACUGACCACACAGAGUCCCUGAAGUGACAUGAACCGCUUCAGAUUUGUCUACUGAAUAAGCAACAAUUCAUCCCGCGUUACGGUCAGUGCACCAGCAGCCACCAGGAAUGAAGGAGCCUGAGGUGAGAAACAGCAAUUCCUGGGUCGCUGCUGAAGACCUGGUCAACCUGGACAUUAAACACUCUAAUACACAACCAUUGUUUGUCUGCAUCAGGAGAGUCCAGCUCCAGGUGACAGUGGCAGAGCCUGAAACAGGAAGUGAGAGUUGUUACAGAGCACAGCGGAAUGAAGCUUCUCAGUGGUGUUUCCUUAUAGGCACGACUGACUCCAGAGUUCAGAUAAAGAGUUAUUUUUGUCCCAGCGUGGCCUUGCCAACCAGAUAAUUAGGCCUCUUAACAUGUAUAUAAUAUGUCAACAAGCUGAUAUAUAUAAACUGAAAUAAAAAGUCGCCACAAGGCCUGAUUCUGGAUCAGCUCCAUUUUGGAUGUGCUCAGGAAAAACUCAAAAAGAUCAGACACUACCUUCAAAAGGAUGAGUAGAUAAAGAGUUUGGCUCCCAGCAAAACACGUGGAGCAGAGCCAGUAGGACCAGCGAAAGGUUUGGGAUCAGACAGAAUAUGAGGCGCCAAAAUAUAAAGUAUACUUUAUACCGCAUAAUGUCGUAACAGAACACAUUUCUUAUUCCUGCAUUUUUAGGCUAAAUUGGCAUCCCUCCAUUUUUGUUUGGUGGUGAAAUGCUCUGCACUGCCGCCAUGUUUUUGCUCCCAGAAGCGCCAUGCAUGCAACACCUCCUUCUGUCUUUACAGCCACGACACACGUUCAGGCCAAAUAAUGCAGCACACUGAUCCAGACAUACCACAGGUCCCAAAAUGUACUGCAACAGUUGACGGUUUUAAACAAUAUGCAGAGGCUUCUCAGUGAUGACUGGUUCGAAGAAAGUGCUGAGAAGAAGAGAAUGAAGAGGAAAAUAGAACAGAACUCACCAGAACAAAGAGGUGGAGGGUCUAGAGGUUGAAGUUCUAAACCAGUUUACUGCAGAACACAAUUGUACUGUGUUAUUAUACAGUAUUUGUAAUUUAUAAAUACAUUUUCAUCUGGCGUUUUAGGUGGAAAUGUAGUUUGGCUCAUGUUAUUUUGUGUCAAGGGAAGACAGUGAGGUACAGAGGGAGGCAGGGAGGUAGCACCACAAGAAGGUCAUGAACCAGCUCAAGAUAACUCUGGCGUGGAACAUGGGACCCCUGUGUCUUCCUUCUCCUGUCAGAGAAGAGGAUAAUUGGUGCCUCUAAUAUUGUGUGGAGUGAGAGACACCAGUGCAGGUGUCCUUCAUCUCAUGCCCAAAUGCAGUUGUAGCCACAGUGGGAACAUGAUAUCCGAACUGAAGCAGCAUCCACUCAGGGAGAGCAAGUUUCCGAGGCGUCCGGAUGAAGACCGUGCUCUGCUCAAAGCUCAACAGCCUAUCGAUGAAAAGUCACCACCAGGACCUGCACCUGUUGCUCAAGGUCAUGUGAAGGUCACCUCGGAUGUUUAUGGCGCUCAGUCAACCGUGAAGAACAGAAAUAACACCACAACUACCGGUGAUCCGCUGGAUCAGUGGGAGAGGAAGGACUCCUGCCUGCUGCGCAACAGUGGGUCUUCUCGU